UGGAGAAGGUGUAGGUAUUGCUUUGGAGAAGGUGUAGGUAUUGCUAUUGAAGAAGGUGUAGGUAUUGCUAUCAGAGAAGGUGUAGAUAUUGCUAUCAGAGAAAGUGUAGGUAUUGCUAUCGGAGAAGGUGUAGGUAUUGCUAUCGGAGAAGGUGUAGAUAUUGCUAUCGGAGAAGUUGUAGAUAUUGCUAUUGGAGAAGGUGUAGGUAUUGCUAUCAGAGAAGGUGUAGGUAUUGCUAUCAGAGAAGGUGUAGGUAUUGCUAUCAGAGAAGGUGUAGGUAUUGAUAUUGGAGAAGGUGUAGAUAUUGCUAUCAGAGAAGGUGUAGAUAUUGCUAUCAGAGAAGGUGUAGGUAUUGAUAUCAGAGAAGGUGUAGGUAUAGGUAUUGCUAUCAGAGAAGGUGUAGGUAUUGCUAUCAGAGAAGGUGUAGGUAGGUGUAGGUAUUGCUAUCAGAGAAGGUGUAGGUAUUGCUAUCGGACAAGGUGUAGGUAUUGCUAUCGGAGAAGGUGUAGAUAUUGCUAUCGGAGAAGUUGUAGAUAUUGCUAUUGGAGAAGGUGUAGGUAUUGCUAUCUGAGAAGGUGUAGGUAUUGCUAUCUGAGAAGGUGUAGGUAUUGCUAUUGGAGAAGGUGUAGAUAUUGCUAUCAGAGAAGGUGUAGGUAUUGCUAUCAAAGGUGUAGACAUUUUUGAAGUUGAUGAUUUUUGGAG